rnacentral:rRNA from 1 species
UACGUAGGGUGCGAGCGUUGUCCGGAAUUACUGGGCGUAAAGAGUUCGUAGGCGGUUUGUCGCGUCGUUCGUGAAAACUUGGGGCUUAACUCCAAGCGUGCGGGCGAUACGGGCAGACUUGAGUACUACAGGGGAGACUGGAAUUCCUGGUGUAGCGGUGAAAUGCGCAGAUAUCAGGAGGAACACCGGUGGCGAAGGCGGGUCUCUGGGACGUUACUGACGCUGAGACGCGAAAGCGUGGGGAGCAAACAGG